AGUCGAGCGGAUGAAGGGAGCUUGCUCCUGGAGUUAGCGGCGGACGGGUGAGUAAAGCCUAGGAAUCUGCCUGGUAGUGGGGGACAACGACUCGAAAGGGUCGCUAAUACCGCAUACGUCCUACGGGAGAAAGUGGGGGAUCUUCGGACCUCACGCUAUCAGAUGAGCCUAGGUCGGAUUAGCUUGUAGGUGAGGUAAUGGCUCACCUAGGCAACGAUCCGUAACUGGUCUGAGAGGAUGAUCAGUCACACUGGAACUGAGACACGGUCCAGACUCCUACGGGAGGCAGCAGUGGGGAAUAUUGCACAAUGGGGGAAACCCUGAUGCAGCCAUGCCGCGUGUGUGAAGAAGGCCUUCGGGUUGUAAAGCACUUUCAGCAGUGAGGAAAGGUUGUAAGUUAAUACCUUACAGCUAUGACGUUAACUGCAGAAGAAGGACCGGCUAACUCCGUGCCAGCAGCCGCGGUAAUACGGAGGGUCCGAGCGUUAAUCGGAAUUACUGGGCGUAAAGCGCGCGUAGGCGGCUAGGUCAGUCAGAUGUGAAAGCCCCGGGCUUAACCUGGGAAUUGCAUCUGAUACUGCUUGGCUAGAGUACAGAAGAGGGUGGUGGAAUUUCCUGUGUAGCG
rnacentral:rRNA from 1 species